UCCUGGUUGAUCCUGCCAGAGGCCACUGCUAUCGGUGUUCGACUAAGCCAUGCGAGUCAAAGGUUCUUCGUGAACAUGGCGUACUGCUCAGUAACACGUGGAUAACCUGCCCUUAGGUUCGGCAUAACCCCGGGAAACUGGGGAUAAUUCCGGAUAGAUCAUAGAUGCUGGAAUGCGCUGUGGUCCAAAGCUAUUGCGCCUAAGGAUGGGUCUGCGGUCUAUCAGGUCGUAGUGGGUGUAAUGUACCUACUAGCCUACAACGGAUACGGGUUGUGGGAGCAAGAGCCCGGAGAUGGAUUCUGAGACAUGAAUCCAGGCCCAACGGGGCGCAGCAGGCGCGAAAACUAAACAAUGCGGGGAACCGCGAUAAGGGGACACCGAGUGCCAGCAUCCUAUGUUGGCCUGUCCAUAUGUCUAUCGCAUAUGUUAGCAAGGGCCGGGAAGACCGGUCCAGCCGCCGCGGUAACACCGGCGUCCCGAGUGGUGGCCACUAAUAUUGGGUCUAAAGGGUCCGUAGCCGGCUUGGUCAGUCUUCCGGGAAAUCUGACGGCUUAACCGUUAGGCUUCCGGGGGAUACUACCAGGCUUGGGACCGGGAGAGGUAAGAGGUACUACGGGGGUAGGAGUGAAAUCUUGUAAUCCCCGUGGGACCACCAGUGGCGAAGGCGUCUUACCAGAACGGGUCCGACGGUGAGGGACGAAAGCUGGGGGCACGAACCGGAUUAGAUACCCGGGUAGUCCCAGCCGUAAACUAUGCUCGCUAGGUGUCAGGGACGGUGCGACCGUUUCUGGUGCCGCAGGGAAGCCGUGAAGCGAGCCACCUGGGAAGUACGGUCGCUAGGCUGAAACUUAAAGGAAUUGGCGGGA
rnacentral:rRNA from 1 species